AGUCACUGACAUUAGAUACCCGCGUAGUCCCAGCCCUAAACGAUGCGCGUUAGGUGUAUCGGUGACCACGAGUCACCGAGGUGCCGAAGGGAAACCGUGAAACGUGCCGCCUGGGAAGUACGGUCGCAAGGCUGAAACUUAAAGGAAUUGGCGGGGAGCACCACAACGGGUGGAGGCUGCGGUUCAAUUGGACUCAACGCCGGAAAACUCAUCGGGAGCGACAGCAGUAUGAUUGCCAGGUUGAUGACCUUGCUUGACAAGCUG
rnacentral:rRNA from 1 species